GAGGAAGGAUCUCUCUGGAGAUCACUCGUCUUGGAGACCUUUUGGUGAGCCCAGGUUAUGGACAACAUCCAGGGGAAAGAAUAUGCUCUUUUAAAUAGAUUCUCCAGUUUGGAACUUCAAGUGAUCUAGAAAGUCAUUGAAAAGACUUUGUGCUGCGCCCCUCAGAAUGAGAUGUUUCCUCUUUUCAUAUCUGUAAUGAUUCAGACCUUCCCCUUUGAAGGCAUGUCCCACUGGCUCUGAUUUUCCUUCAGUAGACAUUAAGGGCAGGAUCCAAUUAAGGAAGCUAAAGGAGUGGAGAGCUUUUUUUGCCGGAGGAAACUGUCUUUGAUGAAGUUUGUAUGGACAGUGACUAAAGCUGCAUCUUGCUCCUGAAAUAAAGACAUCUGUCUGGACAAUAAUCCAAGGAUUGAGGAAAGCCAUUGAUGCUCACCACCACUGUGGAACAUCAUAGCAUCUGCAGACUAUAGCUGGUACUCAUCAGAAGGAAAAAAAGAAGGAAGGACACAAAUUGUCUAAUAAGUUUACUACUAUGUGCAGGAGAACCAGUGCAACACAAAAAAAAACAGGUAUUUAUAGACAUUGAUCAGAUCCCCCUCUGAGCCUUCUCAUAUCUAGGAUGUUCAGUUCUGGCGCUCUCAACCUCUCCUCACAGAAGAGCUACACCAGACCCUUCAUUUUACUUGCUCUUUGCUGGAGUCUCAGUACCUCCAGGCCUCCUGGGGAGCCCAGUGUUUAACAGAGAAGGAUGACCACUCAUGCUGCUGGCAACCCUUGGCCUAAUACAGCUAAGAAUGCCAUUAACUUUUUUUCUUUCAGCCAUGAAUAUUGUUAUGCAUAUAAACUAUUUUUGAAAGAGUCUUUUUGGAAAAUGUCUUCAUGCUUCAGGACACAGGUCAAACUCUUAACAAAUGAGACUUAUAAACUUUUCUCCUCUACCAGUUAUGCUAGAUGACUUUAUUUCUGGGUUUUUGCACUUUAUGCUUUUCUGAUGUGGUGCUUCCAGUCCGUUUGUCAUUAGAACACCGUUAACUAUUCUGAUGGCCACAGUACAUCUUUGUGAUGAAAGAAAUGUCUAUAGAGGUUUAUCUGAGUUUCUGAAUAUCUGACAAGACUAGGGAUCAAUAUGAAUUUGUUAUCUUACUAUGAAGACCUCAAAACUGUGUGAAUGGGAAAGCCAUAGUACGAUGACUGAAUGCCAUUUACAAUAUUCUAUUUUCUAGUCUUUUUCUCUGGACAGAAACAAAACAAAAUCAAACCUAAUCAAAACCUAACGUAGUGAACUAGAAGCAAUCACUUGUCCACUGCAUGCAGCACACUAGCUAAAGAAAGCAAAUCAUGAUCUCUAAAUUAGUGUUGACCUAUGCCAGUUGGUCUAGAGUACACAGUGAAAGGGCACAAACAAAUAGCAGAUGUGAUGUGGAAGCAGGAAAAUUGUUGCUGUAUGAGCUCCAGUGUGGCACCAUGUGGUCACGGGAAUGUUGCUUUUGAACCAUCAUCAUUCCUUUAGGGCUAACAUAUAGUGAACAAUUUUGAUAUGUCUUUCAGCCACAGUGUAUGCUAUAAGAAAUAAAAAUGAUAUGUGGGGAGCAGUGAACCCUCCACUGUCUAGUGACUGUAUUAUUUCAGCUGGAUGACUGAGGCUAACACUGGUUAAAGAGACAUAAGUGUUCUUUUCAUUUUUGUUUCUUCAUGAAGGAGAGGAAAGCUUUAUUCAUUAACUGAUUUAGAGACUUGAGAUCAUGAAUGUCCAAAACCAAUCUCACCUAAUAAUGGCAUUGUCUUUUAGAAGAGAACUAUCCACAGAGCUUUCACGCAUGUUUAAAUGCAGACAGUGUGUAUGACAGUAACAUAUCUUGAGUAGCUCUUCCAAAUUCCAAUUCAGUGUGCAAGACAGUAUCUGUUGCCUCCUAGGAGGGCCUGUGUCUUCACACAAGUUUAAGGGCAUUUGGAAGGCGCUCAGAUAAUGCGAUGAUACUUAAAUAGAUAGACAUAGUGUAUUUCAGCCAGUAAAUGACAGUAGAGAUUUAAGUAUUCAGAAUGUAAUUAUCAGAGCUGGAAUUUGGCCAGGACAUUAACUGAGUUAAUGCUCUUAUUUUACUGAAGUACAGUGAGAUUUCUGAUUAUCUGAAGAGGCUUAUAUCUCUUAUGACAAAUGUCAUGUGUGGUAUUGCUGUACAGAGUUGUUUACAUGCAGGGCAACAUUUGUAUUGAUACUUCCUUGAAACCCAUGUGCUAUCACCUCCUUGAUGUUACAUGACUGCACAGUGACAGCUUGGUGGGGAGCUGGAAUCCGGCCUUGUGAAAUCUUCAUCUGUGAGGAGCACAGAAUGGGACCCUAGUUGUAAACCAUCUGAAUUAAUUCCAGUUUACAGAAUAUAAUGUAAGACUAAAUAUGUAUUUCUGCUUUUAAGCCUUACAAACUAAUCUAAUAAAAAAAUUACUACUUUUUAGAUUUUUUCUUUUUUUCUAAUGAGAAAAUAUUUAAGUUUAUAAUAUUCUACAGUUGUUUGUAUGUUCUAGCCAUAUGAUAUGUUACCUUGUAAUGAAAAAGAUGUUCCUUAGUCUAUUAAACUAUUGCUUUCCAGACUCAAAAACAAAAUAAAUCUUUGAAAUAUCACCUCAUGCUUUGAAGGAACGUAUUGUAGAAAUCAUGUAAAUGUGUCAUAGUAUUGAACAAUUUAAGUGAUGCAGCGAAAUUAGAAAUAAACGGUGACUAUUAUACAAGAACAAAUACUAAAAUAUUGCCUCUGUGCUUUAGCACUUUUUUUCUCAUGGU
ensembl:lncRNA